rnacentral:rRNA from 1 species
UACGAAGGGGGCUAGCGUUGUUCGGAUUUACUGGGCGUAAAGCGCGUGUAGGCGGACUUGUAAGUUGGGGGUGAAAUCCCGAGGCUCAACCUCGGAACUGCCUCCAAAACUACAAGUCUGGAGCAAGAUAGAGGCAAGUGGAAUUGCGAGUGUAGAGGUGAAAUUCGUAGAUAUUCGCAGGGACACCAGUGGCGAAGGCGACUUGCUGGAUCUUUGCUGACGCUGAGACGCGAAAGCGUGGGGAGCAAACGGG